rnacentral:rRNA from 1 species
GAUGAACGCUGGCGGCGUGCCUAAUACAUGCAAGUCGAGCGAACGGACGAGAAGCUUGCUUUUCUGAUGUUAGCGGCGGACGGGUGAGUAACACGUGGAUAACCUACCUAUAAGACUGGGAUAACUUCGGGAAACCGGAGCUAAUACCGGAUAAUAUUUUGAACCGCAUGGUUCAAAAGUGAAAGACGGUCUUGCUGUCACUUAUAGAUGGAUCCGCGCUGCAUUAGCUAGUUGGUAAGGUAACGGCUUACCAAGGCAACGAUGCAUAGCCGACCUGAGAGGGGGAUUCGCCACCCCUGGACUGAGAACACGGCCCAGACCCCCCGGGGAGACGCAGGUGGGAAAUUUUCCGCAAGGGGGAAAGGCUUCAGGGGGAAACCCCGGGUAGGGACAAAGGGUUUUGGGAUGGAAAACAUCUUUUUUUGGGAAAAAAAAAAGGUGUAAGUAAUUGGGACCCUCUUAACGGACCCAAUUCAAAAAGCACCGCUAAACCCCUU